rnacentral:rRNA from 1 species
AAAGGUAGCAUAAUCAUUUGGCUUAUAAUUGAAGUCUAGCAUGAAUGAAUUUAUGGGGAGCGUCUGUCUACAAUGUGUUUAUAGAAUUUAAUUAAUAAGUGAAAAUUCUUAUAUAUAAAUAAAAGACGAGAAGACCCUAGAAAUUUUAUUUACUGUAGUAUUAUACUAUUUCAUUUUGUUGGGGCGACAGAAUAACAGACAACUUAUUUUAUUUAAUUAGCAUUAUAUAUUAUGAAAAAUUAAAUUACUCUAGGGAUAACAGCAUAAUUUAUAAGAGUUUGUGACCUCGAUGUUGGACUAGGGAAUUUAAUACUCAAAAGGCGUUAAAAUCUGCUCUGUUCGAGCAUCAAUCCCUACAU